rnacentral:lncRNA from 1 species
GGAGUUCAGAUGAUGAUCAAUUGCAUAGUUCAAAUGAAUGUUUGUGAUUAGAAAAGUUUUAGUCUUUCCGAUGAACUCACAUUUUUUUAUAUUUUUUAAUUUAAUAAUGAUUGUAUUUAAAUUAGUGGGAUAAUGACGACUCCAUGUGAUAAGGUCUCGUUCGUCGUAAUGGUGUGAUGAAUUCACACCUUGCCCCAUGUGAUAAGGUCUCGUUCGUCGUAAUGGUGUGAUGAAUUCACACCUUGCCGACCAUCCUGUUAUACCACCACCCAUAAACUGA